UGCUCUUCCCUCCCAGUUCGAGCGCUGCAGCCACUUCUUCCAGAUGAAAAACAUCUCCUUCUGCGGGUGCCACCCCCGGAACAGCUGCUACUUCGGGUUCAUCACCAAGCACCCGGUGCUGAGCCGCUUCGCCUGCCACGUGUUCGUGUCCCAGGAGUCCAUGAGACACGUGGCCGAGUGUGUCGGCCGAGCAUUUCAGGAAUAUUACCAGGAGCACCUGGAAUACGCCUGCCCCACAGAGGACAUCUACCUGGAGUAGGGGGGCAGCGGGGGGGCUCCUGCUUCCGCACCCCCCUCCAGCCCCACGGCGGCCAGAGACUGUGUGACCCCCAGCCAGCCGGCUUGGCCCCCCCGCACACGCUCCAGCCCAGGCCCCACGGCCCCACCGCACACCCUCACCGCUUCUCGGGGGGCCGGGGGCUGCCACGGACCACGGGUGGGUAUCGGGGUGCACCCCGGGCACCCCGGGCACGGCGGUGACGCAGCCCGGCCUGGGGGGGGCCGGGGAGGAGCCGCCCCCCACCCCCUGCAUGAGCAACGCCAGCCCGGGGGGCAGGAGCGGGGAGAAGCCCCCCGGACACGGGGGGGACCGAGAGGGGGGCUCGAGGGGGUGAGUGGGGCUGGGGGGAGGCUGUGGGGGGGCUGAGGGGGGCGCGGGGAGGGGGACGUGUGCCAGGGUGAGCAUCUCCAUGAAGCCCCCGAGCCCUGCGCAGUGCCAGCCCCCCACCCUGAGGAACGGGGGUCCCCCCCGGCGCUGCAGCCCCCAGGAACGGCCCAAACCCCCCCUCCGGCUGCAGCCCCCGGGUCUCCCGCCCCCGG